rnacentral:rRNA from 1 species
UAGAGCUUGCUCCAGAGUUUGAAUCGUGGCUCAGGAUGAACGCUAGCGGCAGGCCUAACACAUGCAAGUCGAGGGGUAGAGAGAUCUUGCUUUUUUGAGACCGGCGGAUGGGUGAGUAACGCGUAUGCAACCUACCUUUUACAGGGGAAUAGCCCGGAGAAAUUCGGAUUAAUGCUCCAUGGUUUAUAGAUGAGGCAUCUCAUUUAUAAUAAAGAUUUAUCGGUAAAAGAUGGGCAUGCGUAUCAUUAGCUAGUUGGUGUGGUAACGGCAUCCCAAGGCAACGAUGAUUAGGGGUCCUGAGAGGGAGAUCCCCCACACUGGUCCUGAGACACGGUCCAGACUCCUACGGGAGGCAGCAGUGAGGAAUAUUGGUCAAUGGAGGCAUCUCUGAACCACCCAUGCCGCGUGCAGGAUGACGGUCCUAUGGAUUGUAAACUGCUUUUGUACGGGAAGAAAUGUAAUUACGUGUAAUUAUUUGACGGUACCGUAAGAAUAAGGAUCGGCUAACUCCGUCCCAGCACCCGCGGUAAUACGGAGGAUCCGAGCGUUAUCCGGAAUUAUUGGGUUUAAAGGGUUCGUAGGCGGUUUAGUAAGUCAGUGGUGAAAUCUUACAGCUUAACUGUAAAAUUGCCGUUGAUACUGCUAGACUUGAAUAGUAUGGAAGUAAUUAGAAUAUGUAGUGUAGCGGUGAAAUGCUUAGAUAUUACAUGGAAUACCAAUUGCGAAGGCAGAUUACUACGUACUUAUUGACGCUGAUGAACGAAAGCGUGGGUAGCGCACAGGAUUAGAUACCCUGGUAGUCCACGCCGUAAACGAUGGAUACUAGCUGUUCGGUUUUCGGCCUGAGUGGCUAAGCGAAAGUGAUAAGUUUCCCCGCU